UGUUAAAAAUUUAAUCCAUUUAUACUGUUAAAAAUUAGGGUUGCUGAUGAAAUAAUCAAACAAUUAUAUGUGACGUGCCAUGUAUACCUGAUGUUGACGUACAAUGUCUUGUUUUUAACAAUAAAAAUAGAUGAAAUUCUUAACA
rfam:Gossypium raimondii Chr02_contig_17, whole genome shotgun sequence.